UGACUUGUUGUCAUGUGUAUGUUUGAGUAUAACAACUUAAACAGCACUUCGAUCUUAAAAGCCUAAGUAGUGUAUCCUUGUUAGAAGACACAAAGCCGAAGACUCAUAUGGACUUUGACUACACCAUGAAAGCUUUGAGAAGCAAGAAGAAGGUUGGUUUGUCUUUUGGAGUCGAAUAUGACUUGAUGUCAUGUGUAUGAUUGAGUAUAAGAACUUAAACCACAACCCGAUCUUAUAAGCCUAAGUAGUGUUUCCUUGUUAGAAGAUACAAAGCCAUAGACUCAUACGGACUUUGGCUACACCAUGAAAGCUUUGAGAAGCUAGAAGAAGGUUGGUUAGUGGUUUGGAGUCGAAUAUGACUUGAUGUCAUGUGUAUGAUUGAGUAUAAGAACUUAAACCGCAACCGGAUCUUAAAGGCGUAAGAAUUGUAUCCUUGUUAGAAGACACAAAGCCAAAGACUCAUAUGGACUUUGGCUACACCAUGAAAGCUUUGAGAAGCAAGAAGAAGGUUGGUUAGUGUUUUCGAGUCGAAUAUGAGUUGUUGUCAUGUGUAUGAUUGAGUAUAACAAUUUAAACCGCAACUCAAGCUUAAAAGCCUAAGUAGUGUAUCCUUUUUAAAAGACACAAAGCCAAAGACUCAUAUGGACUUUGGCUACACCAUGAAAGCUUUUAGAAGCAAGAAGAAGCUUGGUUAGUGUUUCGGAGUCG
rnacentral:sRNA from 1 species